rnacentral:rRNA from 1 species
GACGAACGCUGGCGGCGUGCUUAACACAUGCAAGUCGAGCGGUAAGGCCCUUUCGGGGGUACACGAGCGGCGAACGGGUGAGUAACACGUGGGUGACCUGCCCUCAGCUCUGGGAUAAGCCUGGGAAACCGGGUCUAAUACUGGAUAUGACUCCAUGACGCAUGUUGUGGGGUGGAAAGCCUUGUGCGGCUGAGGAUGGGCCCGCGGCCUAUCAGCUUGUUGGUGGGGGUGANGGCCUACCAAGGCGACGACGGGUAGCCGGCCUGAGAGGGCGACCGGCCACACUGGGACUGAGACACGGCCCAGACUCCUACGGGAGGCAGCAGUGGGGAAUCUUGCGCAACGGGCGAAAGCCUGACGCAGCGACGCCGCGUGAGGGAUGACGG